AGAGUUUGAUCAUGGCUCAGGAUGAACGCUAGCUACAGGCUUAACACAUGCAAGUCGAGGGGCAGCAUUGGAGUAGCAAUACUCAGAUGGCGACCGGCGCACGGGUGAGUAACACGUAUCCAACCUGCCGCUUACUCGGGGAUAGCCUUUCGAAAGAAAGAUUAAUACCCGAUGGUAUAAAGAGUUCGCAUGUUCUCUUUAUUAAAGAAUUUCGGUAAGCGAUGGGGAUGCGUUCCAUUAGAUAGUUGGCGGGGUAACGGCCCACCAAGUCUACGAUGGAUAGGGGUUCUGAGAGGAAGGUCCCCCACAUUGGAACUGAGACACGGUCCAAACUCCUACGGGAGGCAGCAGUGAGGAAUAUUGGUCAAUGGACGAGAGUCUGAACCAGCCAAGUAGCGUGAAGGAUGACUGCCCUAUGGGUUGUAAACUUCUUUUAUAAGGGAAUAAAGUGAGGGACGUGUCCCUUUUUGUAUGUACCUUAUGAAUAAGGAUCGGCUAACUCCGUGCCAGCAGCUGC
rnacentral:rRNA from 1 species